GAGACUGCGGCCUCAAAACCAGAAGCGUGCUCCUGCAUCCUGAGAGGGAGACCCGGGCAGCCCUAGAGGCCUGAGAGGCGCAUCUGUCAGCCAGAUGGUAACUCCAAGGGAGCAAGGUGCGUGAGGAGCUCUCAUUAUCCUCGCCUAGCCUGGAGCACCUGCUCUCCCCGCGGAGACCAGACCGGCUCUGUAGAGCCGGCCUAACCCCAGAGAUAGGUAACCAGCCCAAGGUCAGCAGCCUACUGGAGGAGGCAGGGCCUGGAAGCUAACCCUUGUCCCCAGGUUCCUAGCUCACCUAGCUGCAGCAGAGGGAGGAGGUUCCCACCAGUAUCAAAAGAACUCCUUAAGGUUCUCGUAACAUCUAGAACUCCAGCGAGUGGGACUGAAGGAAAGGGAGACCGUUUGAUGAUCUUAGAUUUGGAAGAGGGGCUGCUAAGAAAACUGAGCCUAAUACCCCCCCAAAAGUCCUUAAAGGGAUGGCUGGUUUCCAAAGGCCAGACCCCAGGAAGAGAGGAGGAGGUGGAGAAAUCGGAGAGGGCUGUGCCAGGUGGAAUAAGCCUGACCUCUAGGUUCAGGCCUGAUCUGAAAUCCCAACCCUGCAGUUCCCUAGCAGUGAGGGAAGUGAUCUAUCUUCUAGAACCCCAGUACCACAGGGCCCAGCUGCCAAGGUGCCCCUCAGGACAGUUAAAGAGGGGGGAAGUGAAGUCAGACUCCUGAGGCAGGGCUGUUAGUGGAAGCGCAGUAGGCAAAGAAGAAAUGGCUCCCUUUGUGAGCCGGUGCUGCUCUUUAGCCAUGCCCACUUCAGAGCCACCUGGGCUGGGAAGCCUCCCCAGAGAUCACCCAGCCCAAGCCUGUAGUUGAUACAUAGAAAACGAAAGCUAAGAGGGCCUGGGCUCAGCCUGAUCCCCAUGGCUUGUCAGUGGCAGGAGCAGCAGGUCCCCAGACAAUGGGUGCUCCCCUCCACAAGGCAGCGGUCUCCAAUCACUAAGGCUCUUCUGAGAGUCUGCUCUGAGGUUAGCUCUGAAGCCCAAGUGCGGAGAGUGAUGACAGAGGCCUAGAGUGCAGGGUGAUGUCAACUUACAAGCAACUCUUACAUCUGUGCUAGGCUUUCUGGUCUUGCCCCAAAGCGCUUUUCACAUCCAUUUAUUGACCUCACCGUCUCAAAAUAAGUGAGAUAGAAAGAGGAGAGGCUACAUCUCUGUUAACUGGUGGAGCGGGAAAAGGGUGAGUGGCUUGGCCAAGGUCACCGUCAGGAGAAGGGCCUCCUUUCUCACCACAGAACAACACAAAGCAAUUUACAAGUUAAUUGCCUACUGGGGCCCCACUGUGUCAGAUAAAAAGUCACACAGAGCCGAGAAAUCCACACAGACAGACAGUGAGGGAGAGGAGACAGCAAUUCCAAAUGUCAGUGGACUGUUAUGUUUACCUCACCCUGGACAAAUAAGGUUGAAGGUGGAAGCCCCCAGGCUCCCAACUCAGCACCCACCCCUUUCAGGAAACAUACGUGGCUCCUAAGCACAUGGGCACUGACAGUCUGAAAAGCAUCUGUGAGGACUGGGAAUGUAGCUUGGAGGUAAAACACUUGCCUAACUAGUCACUACGGGUGCCCCGGGUGCUAGCUCCAGUCCUCCUGGAAAAAAAAAAAAAAAUGUCUCUGCCGUUAUUAGGUUAUUAUCUUUGAAAACUCAGCCUCCAGAAGAGGGCAGGGUUGGGAGGGUGGUAUGUUGCAUCUCUGGUAGCUGGAGGUUAAAUGAUCCGCCCAAGGUAACACUGAAGUUCUGCAAGGGAAAAUGGGAGUCCAGGGGUGGUUAUCUGCCUCCAUCCUUCCUGGCUGCCUGCAAUACUCAAUCUUUGACCUUCUGUCUCUCUAGUCUGUGGUUGGGCUUCUCUCUAGCCUGAGUCGACACCUGUGUUGGAGACUCCAUUUCUAGAGGAGCCUCCACUCCAGAGAAGCUCACAGCUGUACCAAAGAUACCAGGAUCUGGAGGCAACCAAAAGCAAGGGACCGCUAUCUGCUAUGCCUGCAUCCUGCUGACCACCCAGCACAUUUCCACCGCCAGGAUCUUGCAAAAUGGCUGAGAUGGUCACCACAAGCUUACAGAUGAGGGCAUCCAGGCCAGAGAAGUUAAGUGACAGCCCAAAGCCACCCUAACAAUGAAAGGCCAGUAGGUUCCAAGUAGGGCCAAGCUCUCCCAUUGCUGGGUGGUAGUGCCUCCCUGAGGAUGCCAGGAGUUAGAAAAACAGAAGCAAGCUCUUUCAUUUCAUACCUCGCCCUAAUCAGUGAAAGGGAUAACAACUCUCUUCCCAAGAUGUAAAGCCUUGUGGGUAAAAUUUCUAGGAGCCUGGAGUUCCUUCUGGUGAUGGGUCAGCCUAGAAGCAGCCACUUUAGCACCUCUCAUUGGUGCAUCCUCAGGACAACAUAGCGUCAUUUGGCACUUCCAAUCCAGAAGAGGCAGAACCAGCUAAGAAGAUUCCUGGAUCAGGGGUCAGACCCAAGAGAGCUCAAUCCUGACUAGAGAAAUGGGAUCACUAGCUGCUGAGCCCAGACCCCCGUACAGAAGGCCAAUGAACAACAAACUCUCUGGAUGCAUCCUAUAGGACUGCCAGAACUGGAGCCCAGAGAGGUUCUGCCACUGGAUCAAGAUCACACAGCUAUCACCAUUCUGAAGGCUGGGGCAGGAAGGGCCUGAGUUCAAGGCCAUUCUGGGCCCCAUAGUAAGAUCCUUUCUCAUGUGGGGAGGGGAGAAGGAGAGGAAAAAAAACCAACCAGCAAUGGAGCCAGGACCAGAGCAAAUCAAUCUUCAAACCUUUACGCUCUCUGUUCAGGCCAAUUACCAUAAGGCCCUGGCUUCCUUGUGUGGAAUCCUCAACAAUCUGAGCAAGGCGCUGCACAUAAUGUCCCUCUUGGUGCACAGGCCCUAAAAGAGGCCCUCCCCUCUCACUUGCCAGCCAGGUCACUGUUCUCACCUGUCGUCCAGAGCUUAGGUGAUCUACCCCCUGGGUGUAUCUGUGACCCACCCAAAUGUUGGUAUUGCUAUCCCAUGGACUGGACUCUUGGACGGACUGGCUUUGGACCGAAUAUAAAAAGAAAACAAGCUGAACUUUCACAUUUCUCUGCUUUGUAAUCUGCCCAGAUGUGGGCAAGAUGAUUGCCAUCUUGCCUGCCCUGCCGUGAUGAACUGUUUCCCCUCAAACUGUGAUCCAGAAUCAACCCUUCCCAUGGGCAAGAUGAUCACCAUCUUGCCUGCCCUGCCGUGAUGGACUGUUUGUCCUCUGUGAGCCAGAAUCAACCCUUCCUGUGGGCAAGAUCGCCAUCUUGCCUGCUCUGCUAUGAUGGACUGUCUCCCCUCUAACCGUGAUCCAGAAUCCACCCAUCCCCCUUGUUUGUUACAGCAGUGAGAAAAGUAACUGGUGCAGGAAAUCAGUACCAGGAGUGGGGUCGUUGCUGUGAUGAGUCUGGCCGUGUGGCCACAGGCCACUGAACUGGUUUGCUGAAGGAAUAUGAAGAGUCUGGAUCUACAGUCUAGAAAUGCCAUAAAACCACUGUGAAAAGAACUUAAGGGGCCAUGGCGAUGGAAAUCUGGACCACCAAAUGAGGAGAGGGAGAAAAAAAGACAGCAAAGAGUCAGCUCAUGAUGGUUCAGAAGUCUAUUGGGAACUGGGGCAGAGGCCAUCCAUGUUACACUCUGACUCCUUCUGACCAUGUCCUGAGACCCUGAGUGAACAUAAAACGAGAGGUAACGAGCUCAUUUGUUUUGUGGGGGAAGUCUCAGGACAACUGUUUUCCGUCUGUCCCAUGGUUCUUGCUCACUGCUGUCAGUCAGAUCCACAGUGGGAGAACAGAAAGACGUGGGAAAUGUAUGACUGGGUGAGUUUGCAGAGGAAGCAGAUAUAACCAUUCAGGAGACUAGUACCAGAAAGUACGCGGACCCUCACUCUGACCCGGGACCACAGGGAGAGUGCUCUGUGAGUAAGACCUCACACGGUAAAGAUUCCAACUAUGAAAAUGAAUGCAUCGGAAGAGAGGUUGGAUGGAAAUACAGCUAAAAGGGUUUCUUGCCCAAUCAACUGUCUGUGGAAGUGUUUUCCCUGGGUCGGCUGCGAAGCACCCAGAGGCCACUGAAGCUGGGGUACAAGAGGGUCCGUGUCUAUCUCCAGAAGGCAGAAAAACGUAUCAGGGUCGUCAGUGUGAUGCUGUGUAGACAUCCAGAAAUGCAAGAGCUGUAGGGCCAUAGUGGCUUGCAGCAAAGUUCCAGAAAAUGAGUUAAUUCAGCCAGUGUGUGGCAGGUUCAGGUUACCUGUGAGGCCCCGAGAAGCCAUUGUGUGAAACCAUCAAGGUAAAGCCUAAGAGGCAGUAGAGACCCCAGGAUGUUGGGGAUCAGGGGUCAGGCUGUGUGCUGCAGAUGGUGGGGCUGUAGAGACACGGCCACUCCAGCCUUUCGGACCAUAGACGAUGCCAUGAGUCCCAGAUGCUGGACAUGGGUUCCGGAGUUUUGUGUCUUCCCUGCAGGGCUUUGGUCUUGCUUUGGCAUAAUCUUUCCUUGUGCCUCUGUUCCUUCCCAUAUUAUUCUCUGUCGUAUAUCAGGAUGGAACUCGAUUAUUUUAUAGGGACCCACAGAGGAAGAGAUUGUCCUAAGUCUUAGAAGAGACAAUAAGUUUGGACUUUUGGAUGUUGAGACUUUGGGACUUUUAGAGAUUAAUCCAAUGCGUUUUGUAUUGAUGUGGCCAUGAGGGGUAGAAUGUUCAUAUAAAGUGAUGUGCUCAGUGUCAAGCUGACGAGGAGUGGACUUGUGAUGGUUAACUGUCAUUGUCAA